GGUAGCUACGUGCGGAAGAGAUAACCGCUGAAAGCAUCUAAGCGGGAAACUUGCCUUGAGAUGAGUCUUCCCUUGUCCUUUAAGGACACUGAAGGAACGUUCGAGACGAGGACGUGGAUAGGCCGGGUGUGUAAGCGUAGCGAUACGUUGAGCUGACCGGUACUAAUGAACCGUGCGGCUUAACCUGACAACACCGAAGGUGUUU
rnacentral:rRNA from 1 species